AAGGAUCCACAGCCGUCACAGACCAGCCCUGUGUGCUGGAAAUUAACAGAGGAAGAACGGGCAUCCUGGAGGUUGGGCUCUGGGGUCCGGGGCAGAGCUGCUAAUUCUUGCACAGUCCAAAUCCCUGAGCUGCCUCCGAGUUCUAAGAGCGUGGGGAUGUGUCACCUGGUGACAGAGGGAACCCCUUCGAGAACCUGCCAGCCCAUCAGUCACAGGUCUGCAAGAGAAUGAAGAUGGGCUUUCCCCAAGACCACCGGUGCCCGGUCCUGCCAAUACUCCUUUCUCCAAACGUCACCUCAUACAGCAGCCAGGGUGACAGAGGAUUCUAGAAGGGCCGAGUGAGGGCGUGGUGGGGCUUUGCACCCCUCCUCAGAGCUGGCUUGGUGUUCAGACCCGGAGACCCCUCCAGGAACGCAGAGUGUCAGACCCCGACCUGCCAGAGGCCGAUAUGGUGAGGAUAUGCUGUGCUCAGGGCUCAGUUACCAGCAAAACAAUGGCCAGGUGGAGCUAACAACGAUUGAGUUCUCUGUGUCUAUUAUCCCUGCCGACCAGGUCACGAGCCCAGGGUGGCCAUUUUUACCAUCGCUGGGGGAAGAUGACUCAGAGGCAAGCGCAGCCAAGGAAGGGUCCUUCCAGGUUCUUGGUGACAUAAUCUGAGUGACUGGAUCCAGCUGUACCUGAUAUCUAUUCCUGAAUUUUUCAAAUCUAAAUGAAUUAAAUUGUGUGCAA